rnacentral:snRNA from 1 species
AUACUUACCUGGUGCCGAGGCGUCCUUGAUCACCGAGGACGAGCCCAAAGUACAAGGCACGGGCAUUGUACUGCGUUCGCGUUGACCCCUGCCACUACCUCAAACUGGGCAGAUGGGGCUUUCAAAUUGCUCAAGUCCGACUCAACGUU